CGUCGAACGUGUCGCGUUAUUAUUAACCUCAUCCUGGCGUCGUGUCGUGUCGUGGCAUUGCAAAAAAUUCUUCGAUCAAUUAUGGAAUUAUGGGAUGGAAUGGAAUCGAAUGGAAUGGAAUGGAAUGGAGGUUGUACGGUAUCGUGUAACGAACAAUGGAUCAAAGUUUCGAUCGAUCUGUUGACGCUGGCCUGUGUCGAUCAUAUCGCUCGAUGUUCCUCUAGCAUCGGUGAAGAGAAUAUUGUAUACAUGAAAUUCUCGUUUCGAACUUAAAAAAUAAAUUAAGUCAAUUUCUAUUUAAAUGAAUGAUACUCGUCUUGAUUCGUCAAAUUUUUUUAUCCUUUAUGGAUUGGAUAGUGAAUACACAUAUAUAAUUGAAUGUUAUAUUUCAUAAUUUUUUGUAUCGUCUUUGUUUCGUAUCAAGCGAUUAUGAUUCUACGUUUCCUUUAUACAUUUCUAAAUCGUGACUUUUUAAUUAAAAAUGAGAACAUUUCGAUAUUAAAUCGAUAAUAAAAUAAUCAAUAUUAAAAGAAAAAAAAUGAAGAAUUUGUCCUAUUUUUUUUUAUUAAAAAUAUAGUUUCUUUAAAUAUAAAUCGUAGAAUAUUCUUGUGCUUUAUAUAUCGUAUUUCAAUAAAUCUAUCAUCGUUUACCGACAGAGACUGGAAUGAAACGUUUUAUAGAAACAAUUAUACGGAUCCACAAAAUUCCAAAAUUAAAAAAAUUCAUUGAGAAAUUAAAAACGAUUUAUACCAAUUUCCCUAUGAAAAAGAGAAUUCCCUAUGAAACACUCGCAAAUAUUUUUACAUCUUAUUUAUCGUAUAUUAGUAAAUCAUAUCAUUUACCGACAGAGAUCCUAUACUAUAGGAACAAUUUAAUAAUAUUUCACAAAUACGCAGAAAAAUGAAAAAAUUAUAAAUGAUGCCACGUUUCAAGAAAAACUCGUAAAUAUUUUUAUAUUUCAUCCAUAAAUUAAUGUAUCAGUGAAUUUAUCAUUUACCGACGGAGAGUCGAAUGAAACGUACUAUACCAUAGGAACCAUUUAAUAACAUUCCACAGGAGUCCACGCAAAAGUUCAUCGAAGAAAUUAGAAACGACUUAUACCAUGUGUUUCAAGAAAAUCUUCCUAUGAAAAAUUAACGACAUUUCCCGGGGCUUUAAACGUACCACCAUUCUUCCUACAUCUUUAUCGGCCCCGGUCAUAUUCAUUGGGAUCAAAGUUCAAAAACGUGGCUCGUUAUCACACUGACUACGCUGAAGUUCGCCCGUGUAUUUUACCGUUCGUGGCCGGAUGCGUAUAUACGUGUGUGCACAUGCACAUAAACGGGCCAUUGUAUGGUGUUCGAGACACGUUUAACGACAUGCACGAAGCGUAAUCGUGGCGAAGAAUCAGCGGCCUUUCUCCCAACGCCUCCUCACGUUCAUUCCGUUACCAUACGGUCACCGGUGCGCUUAUCUCCCACCUUCGCGAGAAACUUCGACCUGAAUCUCUUUAAAGACUGCAUUACGCGUGGCCGUUUCUCGUUUCUCCAACGAUCUUGUUUUGCUCGCGACUACGAGAGGAACCAGGACGUUGCCAUGCGAGCCUCUAUCGAUGUACAGUGAAAUUUUCCGUUAACCGACAGCCGACACCCUUUUUCUUUUCCUCCUCUCUAUCCUUCUUUUUUUUCAUUAUUUUUUUCUUUUCUUUACCGAAAUCACACACGAAUAUGAAGGGGCCCCUCUUUCGCAUAUGAGAUACUCGUUUAUGCUGUAAACGAAAUUCAAGUGAAUUGAAACGAAAUUCCUCUGAAUUAUUUUCAAGUAAGAAUAAUGGAUAUCAAGAUUACGAUUCGUUUGUUUUAUAAAUGUCAUGUGCUUUAUAUUUUACGUUCUAAAUGGGAGAAUAUAUAUCUUCUUUACCAUAUGUAGGCAAUCCGAAUUCAAUUUUUUCCAAAACAAAGAAUCGAAAUUAAUACAUUAAUAAUUAAUGCAACCAGCCUACAUAUCCCAGACUCAACGUGAAUUGCGUAAAAAUUUCAAGAGUGUCGAUCAAAGUGGAUUUAAGAAAAAAAAAAGAAAGAAAAAAUGCCACAAUCUUCGUUCGUCCGUUUUUAACAAACAGUAAUUUUCUAAUAACUAUUUACGAAGAUUAAAGAUAAGAUAAAUUAACAACAAUUAUUCAAUUCAGUUAUAUAAUUUCACUUGUCUAAGUGGCAAAUUUUUACGACACAUAAUAAACUUAAAUUCAACAUAUGUAAUAUUUAACAUAACUAUACACUCUACUGCCAGCAAGAUGAUCAUCAAAUUUUGCAUUUAUCUAAUCUAUAUAUCAACAAUAAUAAAUAAUUUCUUUUACAAAAUCUGUCUAU